AGUUCGGGUCUGGACACGGAAGGAGAAGGUUGUCUUUUCGUUCUUGGAGCGUGGGCACUAAAAGUCUCUCUUUGUCCCAAACUUUGAGAGGAAGGCGUCCGUUGAACCUUCCUUUCCGUCUUUGGCGAGACGUCGGCAGCCUGCGUCUCUGGAAGGGCCUUUUUGAAGAACAAGAGGGCUGCUGCCGCGGGGGAAGAUGUCCAACUACGUGAACGACAUGUGGCCAGGCUCCCCUCAGGAGAAGGAUUCCCCCCUGUCGUCCCGGUCGGGCCAUUCCAGCCGCCUGUCGUCGCGGUCUCGGAGCCGCUCUUCCUCCAGAAGCUCCCGCUUUUACUCCCACAUCUCGAGUCGCUCUUCGUCCAGAAGCUCCAGCCGACCCCAGAGGAGGAGCAGGUCCCGCUCUCGUUCGAGAAGGCGCCACCAGCGCAAGUACAGGCGCUACUCCAGGUCUUACUCGCGGAGUCGGUCGCGGUCCCGCAGCCGCCGGUACCAUGAGAGGCGCUACGGGCCGUCCCGGAGGUAUCACCGGUCUCCCUCGCGGUACCGCUCGCGCAGCCGGUCUCGAUCCCGUUCCUGCUCCCAAGGGAGGUCGCACUACCGAAGGACCUAUACGGUCACGCGCGGGCGGCGCUACUACGGCUUUGGGCGCACAGUGUACCCCGAGGACGAACACCGAUGGAGGGAGCGAUCCAGGAGCAGGUCUCGGAGCAGAACCCCUUUUCGCUUAAGUGAAAAAGAUCGAAUGGAGCUAUUAGAAAUAGCGAAAGCCAAUGCAGCAAAAGCUUUAGGAACGACCAACAUUGAUUUGCCAGCUAGUCUCAGAAUCGUUUCCACAGCCAAAGAAACAAAUAGUGGAACAGCUGUGCCAAAUACUGGUGCUAAGUUGGAGGUAAGUAUUCCUGAUUUAUCUAGACAAAAAUUUGUUGUUUAUUGCCUGAAAGAUCUGGUUAGUCGUUUCUUACUUACUUUACACUUCUUGGGAAGUCUAGAUGUGUAUAAUUUGCUAAAAUCAAAAGAGCAGAUUGAUGAUGCCAGACAAGAUCACACCCCUGAAAAUGGGAGAUUAAUGAACUUUAUCAGUUGGCACCAUACUCUUUCAUUACACUGUUAAUAAUAUUGUAGCUGCUACUUUGAUUUCUAUAUGAAAUUCUAACUCUAGUCUUUUACGGAGUGUUUAGCUUUCUUUGCAGCAUUAUGUUCCCACAAAUUCUGUACUCAACAUACAGUAUAGUUUAUCUGCUUUAUUUCUGUCUUAUAGAAAUCAUGAAUGUGGUCUCCAGACAAUUGAUGAAGAAAAUCUGUUGGUAAUUGAUACAUGGGCUUAAAGUAUCAGAGGUUUAACUAAUUUGAAGUUUACAUUCACAUACUGAAAAAGUAGUUUUUGUUGUUAGAUACAUGUGCAUGCUAGAAUUUGGGACAGGUACUAUUUAUAUAAGGUACUGAAGACAGUUUUUAAUCUAAGCAAGGGUACACUUUGUAAUGGUGGGGCAUCUGUGCCAUAGAUGUCCCUUUCAUAAUAUAUGCAAUAUAUUCCAGAUGUUUUGAGAGAUUACAGAAGAGGAGGCCUGCUUCACUUGGCAGAUAAGUUUAUUAUAAUUCUCCAGAAAUGUGCAGGAUGUGCAUUGGCAAAUUGCACUGUACCUUCAAUUGUGUGAAACCGAAGCUUAAAUAAAUUCAUAGCUUUAAAGGUUUAAAGUAGUUAGAAAUUGAUAAAGAUCAGUAAAGAGAUCCAUCUUAAGUGAACCUAUCUUUGGGACCCAGAUGUAUGUUUGCUUAUAUUAGUAGACAAAUAAGAUCUUAGUAGAAUAGCUUGUUGAAGCUAUUAGGUACCCUAAUUAAGGCAGAUGCCUUAAUUACUUGAAAAUAAGGUAUUUUCUGGUAUGACUUCACUUUCAAAAGUUAACUUGAAUUCAAAGCAGGGGAAUAAAAUAAUUAUAGGAAAAGUGUCUUAAACCUGUUAAAUCAGUUUUGUUAAGGGGAAAAGAAAACUCAAGUUUGUGUUGUUUAGGCUGUUAACUACAUGGUUAGAGUGAACUUUAUUUGUAUGUCUACUACUAAAUUUAUAUAUAGUUGAGUUGCUUUUUAUGUGGUAGUUGGAAAUCAGGGAUAUGUAUUUUUAAAGUUACACUUUUCUCUUGUUUAGCUGUCAGAAAAGCUAACAGAAGGUGGAACUAGAAGUCCCAAUGAAAAAUCUCCCCAGCAAAGAAGCAUAGCUUUUAGUUCUAAUAAUUCUAUAGCAAAGCCAAUACAGAAAUCAGCUAAAGCUGGUGCUGAAGAGACAACUUCAAGGUCACCAAAAA